CCUACGGGUGGCAGCAGUGGGGAAUAUUUGACAAUGGGGGCAACCCUGAUCCAGCCAUGCCGCGUGUGUGAAGAAGGCCCUCGGGUUGUAAAGCACUUUCAGUGAGGAAGAACGCCUGGUGGUUAAUACCCAUCAGGAAAGACAUCACUCACAGAAGAAGCACCGGCUAACUCCGUGCCAGCAGCCGCGGUAAUACGGAGGGUGCGAGCGUUAAUCGGAAUUACUGGGCGUAAAGCGCGCGUAGGUGGCUUGAUAAGCCGGUUGUGAAAGCCCCGGGCUCAACCUGGGAACGGCAUCCGGAACUGUCAAGCUAGAGUGCAGGAGAGGAAGGUAGAAUUCCCGGUGUAGCGGUGAAAUGCGUAGAGAUCGGGAGGAAUACCAGUGGCGAAGGCGGCCUUCUGGACUGACACUGACACUGAGGUGCGAAAGCGUGGGUAGCAAACAGGAUUAGAUACCCCAGUAGUC
rnacentral:rRNA from 1 species